rnacentral:lncRNA from 1 species
GAAAACUAUUAAAGAGACUAGAACUAUGAAGCUUAUGCUAUACGGUAUCCGAAUUCGUUCACUAAAUUAAGUUUGUUCAGGUAUGUGAGUGUUAUUUACGAAAUGCGAUGCAUCAUUGUAUCAACACACAUCCCAAAUAGACAUGUGAUGCAUCAUUGUACACAGUAAACUCUUUUCCAGACUCUAGCUGUAUCAAAUCAAGGGCUUCAGUCAAUACAAUUUUGAGCUUCUCGAAGCUUUCUUACUAGGCAUCAGUUAAAUGC